rnacentral:rRNA from 1 species
AGAGUGAACGCUGGCGGCAGGCCUAACACAUGCAAGUCGAACGGCAGCACAGGGGAGCUUGCUCCCUGGGUGGCGAGUGGCGGACGGGUGAGGAAAACGUCGGAAUCUGCCUAUUUGUGGGGGAUAACGUAGGGAAACUUACGCUAAUACCGCAUACGACCUACGGGUGAAAGCGGAGGACCUUCGGGCUUCGCGCAGAUAGAUGAGCCGACGUCGGAUUAGCUAGUUGGCGGGGUAAAGGCCCACCAAGGCGACGAUCCGUAGCUGGUCUGAGAGGAUGAUCAGCCACACUGGAACUGAGACACGGUCCAGACUCCUACGGAGGCAGCAG